rnacentral:misc_RNA from 1 species
GAAAUGCGAUAAUUAAUGUGAAUUGCAGAAUUCAGUGAAUCAUCGAGUCUUUGAACGCAGAUUGCGCCCCCUGGUAUUCCGGGGGGGCAUGCCUGUCCGAGCGUCAUUGCUGCCCUCAAGCACGGCUUGUGUGUUGGGCUUCCGUCCCUGGCAACGGGGACGGGCCCAAAAGGCAGUGGCGGCACCAUGUCUGGUCCUCGAGCGUAUGGGGCUUUGUCACCCGCUCCCGUAGGUCCAGCUGGCAGCUAGCCUCGCAACCAAUCUUUUUAACCAGGUUGACCUCGGAUCAGGUAGGGAUACCCGCUGAACUUAAGC